rnacentral:rRNA from 1 species
AGGUGUGGAUAGGGGAGAAAUUCCAAUCGAACCCGGAGAUAGCUGGUUCUCCUCGAAAUAGCUUUAGGGCUAGCCUCAUGAGAGUCUUUUGGAGGUAGAGCACUGAAUUCCCGCGGGGGCGUCAAAGCUUACCAAAGGAUAUCAAACUCCGAAUGCCAGUAAGAUGAUUCAUGGGAGUCAGACUACACGAGAUAAGUUGGGUAGUCAAAAGGGAAAGAGCCCAGACCUGCAGCUAAGGUCCCAAAAUGUGUGUUAAGUGGAAAAGGAUGUGGGAUUUCAAAGACAACCAGGAUGUUGGCUUAGAAGCAGCCAUACAUUAAAAGAGUGCGUAAUAGCUCACUGGUCGAGAGGUCCUGCGCCGAAAAUGUCCGGGGCUGAAACACACUACCGAAGCUCAGGAAUUAACGUAGUUAAUUGGUAGAGGAGCAUUCUUAAAGGGAAGAAGCAGUACCGGAAGGAGCUGUGGACUUUUAAGAAGAGAGAAUGCCGGAAUGAGUAGCGAGAGGAAGGUGAGAAUCCUUCCGGCCGAAUACCCAAGGUUUCCAGAGUAAAGCUGAUCUGCUCUGGGUAAGUCGGGGCCUAAGGUGAGGUCGAAAGACGUAGCCGAUGGACAACAGGUUGAAAUUCCUGUACUGCAGUAUAACAGAACUGUGGGGACGCAGAGGGAGAGCACUAGCGGGAAUGGAAUCCCGUGGCAAGCGAGGUAGGAGUCGCGUUGGCAAAUCCGCGUGACAAUCCGAAGACGUGAAGCAUACCGAACAAAAGUAGGGAAAUGUGUGAGCCAGCUGCCAAGAAAAGCCGCUAUUGUUUGUACUGUACCCGUACCGUAAACCGACACAGGUAGGUGAGGAGAGAAUCCUAAGGCCGACGGGAGAAGCAUUGUUAAGGAACUCGGCAAAAUGACUCCGUAACUUCGGGAGAAGGAGUGCCAGUGAGAGCUGGCCGCAGAGAAUUGGCCCAAGCAACUGUUUAGCAAAAACACAGGUCUAUGCAAAACCGUAAGGUGAAGUAUAUGGGCUGACGCCUGCCCGGUGCUGGAAGGUUAAGGGGAGAGGUUAGCGCAAGCGAAGCUUUGAACUUAAGCCCCAGUAAACGGCGGCCGUAACUAUAACGGUCCUAAGGUAGCGAAAUUCCUUGUCGGGUAAGUUCCGACCCGCACGAAAGGCGUAAUGAUUUGAGCGCUGUCUCGACAAUGCACCCGGUGAAAUUGAAAUACCAGUGAAGAUGCUGGUUACCUGCGCCAGGACGGAAAGACCCCAUGGAGCUUUACUCCAGCUUGAUACUGGGAUUCGAUAUUGUAUGUACAGGAUAGGUGGGAGGCGAAGAAGCAUUGACGCCAGUUGAUGCGGAGCCGCUGUUGGGAUACCACCCUUGCAGUAUUGGAUUUCUAACCAGCAGCCGUGACCCGGCUGGGGGACAAUGUCAGGUGGGGAGUUUGACUGGGGCGGUCGCCUCCGAAAGGGUAUCGGAGGCGCUCAAAGGUUCCCUCAGAAUGGUUGGAAACCAUUCGAAGAGUGCAAAGGCAGAAGGGAGCUUGACUGCGACACCGACGGGUGGAGCAGGUACGAAAGUAGGACUUAGUGAUCCGGUGGUAUAAAGUGGGAUUGCCAUCGCUCAACGGAUAAAAGCUACCCUGGGGAUAACAGGCUUAUCACUCCCAAGAGUUCACAUCGACGGAGUGGUUUGGCACCUCGAUGUCGGCUCAUCGCAUCCUGGGGCUGAAGUAGGUCCCAAGGGUUGGGCUGUUCGCCCAUUAAAGCGGUACGCGAGCUGGGUUCAGAACGUCGUGAGACAGUUCGGUCCCUAUCCGGCGUGGGCGUAGGAUAUUUGAGAGGAGCUGGCCUUAGUACGAGAGGACCGGGCUGGACUGACCGCUGGUGUAUCUGUUGUUCCGCCAGGAGCAUGGCAGAGUAGCCAAGUCAGGAAGGGAUAAACGCUGAAGGCAUCUAAGCGUGAAGCCCCCCUCAAGAUGAGAUAUCCCAACGAAAGUUGU